rnacentral:rRNA from 1 species
GACGAACGCUGGCGGCGUGCCUAAUACAUACAAGUCGAGCGGGCUUGACAGAGCUUGCUCUGUUCAAGUUAGCGGCGGACGGGUGAGUAACACGUGGGCAACCUGCCCUGCAGAUUGGGAUAACUCCGGGAAACCGGGGCUAAUACCGAAUAAUAUGGAAAACCUCAUGGUUUUCUUUUAAAAGGCGGCUUCGGCUGUCACUGCAGGAUGGGCCCGCGGCGCAUUAGCUAGUUAGUGAGGUAACGGCUCACCAAGGCGACGAUGCGUAGCCGACCUGAGAGGGUGAUCGGCCACACUGGGACUGAGACACGGCCCAGACUCCUACGGGAGGCAGCAGUAGGGAAUCUUCCGCAAUGGACGAAAGUCUGACGGAGCAACGCCGCGUGAGUGAAGAAGGUUUUCGGAUCGUAAAACUCUGUUGUUAGGGAAGAACAAGUAUCGGAGUAACUGCCGGUACCUUGACGGUACCUGACCAGAAAGCCACGGCUAACUACGUGCCAGCCGCCGCGGUAAUAC